AUUGAACGCUGGCGGCAUGCCUUACACAUGCAAGUCGAACGGCAGCACGGGGCAACCCUGGUGGCGAGUGGCGAACGGGUGAGUAAUGCAUCGGAACGUGCCCAGUAGUGGGGGAUAACCAGUCGAAAGACUGGCUAAUACCGCAUACGACCCAAGGGUGAAAGCGGGGGAACGUAAGGCCUCGCGCUAUUGGAGCGGCCGAUGUCUGAUUCGCUAGUAGGCGGGGCAAGAGCCCAACAAGGCGACGAUCAGAAGCUGGUCUGAGGGGACGACCAGCCAGACUGGGACUGAAACGCGGCCCAGACUCCUACGGGAGGCAGAAGUGGGGAAUUUUGGACGAUGGGCGCGAGCCUGAUCCAGCCAUGCCGCGUGGGGGAAGAAGGCCUUCGGGUUGUAAACCGCUUUUGGCAGGAAGGAAGCGGCGGAGGCCGAUGCCUUGCGCUAAUGUCGGUACCUGCAGAAUAAGCACCGGCUAACUACGUGCCAGCAGCCGCAGUAACAC
rnacentral:rRNA from 1 species